rnacentral:lncRNA from 1 species
GAAAACAAAAAAUAUAUUAAUGAUACACAUAAAAAUUACAAAAACUAAUAAAAAUAAAUAAACUAAAACCUUAAUCCUGGUAUUGAAACUAAAGCUUUGGCUUCACUCUUAAUCUGUCUCUAUACCUUUUAGAAUUUCAAAUUAGAAAGUUGACAAAUCAAGUGGAGCCAAGAUCACUUUAGUAAAGAUUUAAUUGCAUAUAGGCCACAAAAAGAGUUCUUGACCUUUUCUUUUCUUUGAUACUGGUGGUGAUGAAAAGCCGUAGGAACCAGCUAGCAUUUGCCGCUUGCUGAAUAUACGUGUGGUUAUUUUGAUUUUGAUCUACAUGAAACAAACCAUUUGCCACUAAGUUACUAUGAGGAAUGACCUCUGACAAAGGAGAGACAAAACAAUUCAGAUAAAAUUGAGCCUAACAUUGGCCAUGGAAUAUCAAUGACUGCACAUUAAAACUACCUAUGCAAACGUAAUCGAUGCAAAGGUUAAUGCUUCAAGUUUUUCAAAGUGUCUCUAAGAUUAGAGAGAUAAAUUUCUCAUAUUUUAGAAUCCACAAAAUGUCAUAGAUUAAGAAACAAGAAACAGGAAAUAGAAUAAAGAGUGAUACCAAAAUCAAUCAUUUGAAGAUGAUUAUAGAGUUAGUAGUAAUGCAAACGAUGCAAAAGUUGAGCGAUAAGAGAGCAAGGAUGAAAAUACAUACCAAAAUCACCAAGUCACAAAGAGGUAGUCUCGCAAGAUACCAAAACCCUAAUCGAUGCAGAAUUGCGAAAAAAUGGGGAAAUCACGAGAAAACUUUAAUCGAUACAGAAACCCUAAUCGAUGUUUUUCCCCUUUUUUAUUCAGGCCGAGCGAUGUAGAAGGUUCGAGAGAAGACAAAGUUACGGGAAGAUUGUUUUGCGCGAAAACCAU